rnacentral:rRNA from 1 species
UUACAGCUUAACCAACCCCUUCGAUAAAUUUCAUAAACAACCAUCAGCCCUUAUUUACCAUUGAAUAAUUCUAUAAUUAUAUAGAAGAUAUUAUGCUAGAACUAGUAACAAGAAUUUAACAUUCUCCAAAAUGUAAGUAUAAACCAAAAUGGAUAUUCCAUUGGUAAUUAACGAAAAUGAACCAAACACAGCAACUAUCAAGAGAACUCUGUGUAAAUUACUCGUCAACCUAACACUAGAGCAUUCCUGGAAAGAUUAAAAGAAAAAGAAGGAACUCGGCAAAUCUCGACCUCGCCUGUUUACCAAAAACAUCGCCUCUUGACUAAUAAUAAGAGGUCUAGCCUGCCCAGUGACAAAGUUCAACGGCCACGGUACCCUAACCGUGCGAAGGUAGCAUAAUCACUUGUUCUUUAAAUAAGGACUUGUAUCAACGGCAUCACGAAGGUCGCACUGUCUCCUUUCUCUAAUCAGUGAAACUGAUCUCCCCGUGAAGAAGCGGGGAUAAACCUAUAAGACGAGAAGACCCCAUGGAGCUUUAAACCUAUAGCAACUUACUGCAAAUUCCAUUAUAAUUUUAAAUUAUGCUUAACGGUUUUAGGCUGGGGUGGCCGCGGAGUAAAAAUCAACCUCCACGACGAAAAGAACUAAGUCUUUAUCCAAGAAUUACUAUUCUAAGAACUAGCACACUAACGUAUAAUGACCCAUAAAUGAUCAACGAACCAAGUUACCCUGGGGAUAACAGCGCAAUCUACUUAAAGAGCCCAUAUCGACAAGUAGGCUUACGACCUCGAUGUUGGAUCAGGGUAUCCCAGUGGUGCAGCCGCUACUGAUGGUUCGUUUGUUCAACGAUUAAA